rnacentral:rRNA from 1 species
GACGAACCGUGCGAACGUUGUUCGGAAUCACUGGGCUUAAAGGGCGCGUAGGCGGGCGAUCAAGUCAGGGGUGAAAUCCUCCGGCUCAACCCGGGAGAACUGCCUUUGAUUACUGGUCAUCUCGAGUGAGGUAGGGGCAUGCGGAACUGGAUGGUGGAGCGGUGAAAUGUGAUUGAUAUCAUCAGGAACUCCGGUGGCGAAAGCGGCGUGCUGGACCUUUACUGACGCUGAUGCGCGAAAGCC